AUACGGGGGGUGCAAGCGUUAAUCGGAAUUACUGGGCGUAAAGCGCGCGUAGGCGGUUAAAUAAGUUGGAUGUGAAAUCCCCGGGCUCAACCUGGGAACUGCAUUCAAAACUGUUUAACUAGAGUAUGAUAGAGGGCAGUGGAAUUCCAGGUGUAGCGGUGAAAUGCGUAGAUAUCUGGAGGAACAUCAGUGGCGAAGGCGACUGCCUGGAUCAAUACUGACGCUGAGGUGCGAAAGCGUGGGGAGCAAACAGGAUUAGAAACCCCAGUAGUCC
rnacentral:rRNA from 1 species